AACGCGAAGAACCUUACCAAGGCUUGACAUGACCGAGAACGCCCUAGAGAUAGGGAACUCUUUGGACACUCGGUUACAGGUGGUGCAUGGUUGUCGUCAGCUCGUGUCGUGAGAUGUUGGGUUAAGUCCCGCAACGAGCGCAACCCUCGUCGUAUGUUGCCAGCACGUGAUGGUGGGAACUCAUAUGAGACUGCCGGGGUCAACUCGGAGGAAGGUGGGGAUGACGUCAAAUCAUCAUGCCCCUUAUGUCUUGGGCUUCACGCAUGCUACAAUGGCCGGUACAAAGGGCUGCGAUGUCGUAAGGCGGAGCGAAUCCCAAAAAGCCGGUCUCAGUUCGGAUUGAGGUCUGCAACUCGACCUCAUGAAGUCGGAGUCGCUAGUAAUCGCAGAUCAGCAACGCUGCGGUGAAUACGUUCCCGGGCCUUGUACACACCG
rnacentral:rRNA from 1 species